rnacentral:other from 1 species
CGGUUCCUGGUGUAUUCGCCAGACACUCAGUCCUCGAGCCGAUACUGCUGUAACCGGCGGUGACCGAAUGGUGUUGUUGUGCAGGUCCGGCUUGUACCGGAAAGCCUGAUACACCGCGGGAGCCACCACCUUGAACCUUUCGGUUCAAGGGCCGACCUGUCAGCGGUACACCGGGAACCUU